AGAGUUUGAUCCUGGCUCAGAACGAACGCUGGCGGCGCGCCUAAUACAUGCAAGUCGAACGAGAAUGUGUAGCAAUACACAUGUACAGUGGCGAACGGGUGAGGAUUACAUGGGUAACCUACCCUCGAGUGGGGAAUAACUAGCCGAAAGGUUAGCUAAUACCGCGUACGCUUCCCGGACUGCGGUUCGGGAAGGAAAGCGAUACCGUGGGUAUCGCGCUCUUGGAUGGGCUCAUGCCCUAUCAGCUUGUUGGUGAGGUAACGGCUCACCAAGGCUUCGACGGGUAGCUGAUCUGAGAGGAUGAUCAGCCACACUGGCACUGCGACACGGGCCAGACUCCUACGGGAGGCAGCAGUAAGGAAUAUUGCGCAAUGGGCGAAAGCCUGACGCAGCGACGCCGCGUGGGGGAUGAAGGUCUUCGGAUUGUAAACCCCUUUCGGGAGGGAAGAUGGGAUGGGGUAACCCAUUCGGACGGUACCUCCAGAAGCAGCCACGGCUAACUUCGUGCCAGCAGCCGCGGUAAUACGAAGGUGGCAAGCGUUGUUCGGAUUUACUGGGCGUACAGGGAGCGUAGGCGGUUGGAUAAGCCCUCCGUGAAAUCUCCAGGCUUAACCUGGAAAGUGCAGAGGGGACUGUUCAGCUAGAGGAUGGGAGAGGAGCGCGGAAUUCCCGGUGUAGCGGUGAAAUGCGUAGAGAUCGGGAGGAAGGCCGGUGGCGAAGGCGGCGCUCUGGAACAUUUCUGACGCUGAGGCUCGAAAGCGUGGGGAGCAAACAGGAUUAGAUACCCUGGUAGUCCACGCCUUANACGAUGGAUACUAAGUGUCGGCGGGUUACCGCCGGUGCCGCAGCUAACGCAGUAAGUAUCCCGCCUGGGAAGUACGGCCGCAAGGUGAAACUCAAAGGAAU
rnacentral:rRNA from 1 species